CCUACGAGAGGCAGCAGUAGGGAAUAUUGCUCAAUGGGGGAAACCCUGAAGCAGCAACGCCGCGUGGAGGAUGAAGGUUUUCGGAUUGUACACUCCUUUUGUUAGAGAAGAUAAUGACGGUAUCGAACGAAUAAGCACCGGCUAACUCCGUGCCAGCAGCCGCGGUAAUACGGAGGGUGCAAGCGUUACUCGGAAGCACUGGGCGUAAAGAGCGAGUAGGCGGGAUAGCAAGUCAGAUGUGAAAUCCUAUGGCUUAACCAUAGAACUGCAUUUGAAACUGUUAUUCUAGAGUAUGGGAGAGGUAGGUGGAAUUCUUGGUGGAGGGGUAAAAUCCGUAGAGAUCAAGAGGAAUACUCAUUGCGAAGGCGACCUGCUAGAACAUAACUGCCGCUGAUGCGCGAAAGCGUGGGGAGCAAACAGGAUUAGAUACCCGAGUAGUC
rnacentral:rRNA from 1 species